AUUGAACGCUGGCGGCAUGCCUUACACAUGCAAGUCGAACGGCAGCACGGGGCAACCUGGUGGCGAGUGGCGAACGGGUGAGUAAUGCAUCGGAACGUACCUUUCAGUGGGGGAUAACGUAGCGAAAGUUACGCUAAUACCGCAUAUUCUGUGAGCAGGAAAGCAGGGGAUCGCAAGACCUUGCGCUGAUUGAGCGGCCGAUGUCAGAUUAGCUAGUUGGUGAGGUAAAGGCUCACCAAGGCGACGAUCUGUAGAGGGUCUGAGAGGAUGAUCCGCCACACUGGAACUGAGAACCGGUCCAGACUCCUACGGGAGGCAGCAGUGGGGAAUUUUGGACAAUGGGGGCAACCCUGAUCCAGCCAUGCCGCGUGAGUGAAGAAGGCCUUCGGGUUGUAAAGCUCUUUCGGCCGGGAAGAAAUCGCACGGGCUAAUACCCUGUGUGGAUGACGGUACCGGAAUAAGAAGCACCGGCUAACUACGUGCCAGCAGCCGCCGUAACAC
rnacentral:rRNA from 1 species